rnacentral:rRNA from 1 species
AUACGUAUGUCGCAAGCGUUAUCCGGAUUUACUGGGUGUAAAGGGAGCGUAGACGGUUUGGCAAGUCUGAUGUGAAAGCCCGGGGCUCAACCGCGGGACUGCAUUGGAAACUGUCAGACUUGAGUGCAGGAGAGGUAAGUGGAAUUCCUAGUGUAGCGGUGAAAUGCGUAGAUAUUAGGAGGAACACCGUUGGCGAAGGCGGCUUACUGGAAUGUAACUGACGUUGAGGCUCGAAAGCGUGGGGAACAAACAGGAUUAGAUCCCCUGGUAGUCCACGCCGUAAACGAUGAAUACUAGGUGUUGGGAGACAAUAGUUUCUCGGUGCCGCAGCAAACGCAAUAAGUAUUCCACCUGGGGAGUACGUUCGCAAGAAUGAAACUCAAAUGAAUUGACGGGG